UGCACUCGUAUUCUAGCAUUCAGCGAAUCUUUUCAUUUUACAUUAACCCCAAAGAACAUCUAUUGUCAUCAACUCAAUGCACAGACUAUUCUCACAUGUCUUAUGCCACUUUGAUGUGCUUGCUAGAUUUUGCUUUGUGUACAUGUAAGUGAUGAAAUCAAGGGGGUCUAUUUUCAGCCGUAAAGGUACAUUUGGGAAGUCAUGUCAGCAUGUCGAGGGUGUAGGAUUACGAUCGAGAUCCCUUCCUUGAGGAUCAUCCGCGACCCAGCAGAGAUUUCGAGGAUAAGGAACUUGUUCGCUACCCUACGAAGAUUCUGAGGACGAGGGGUUCCCGAUGAGAGCGGCAAGAGUUAGUAAACACUAGUGUCAUA
rnacentral:lncRNA from 1 species